CCUACGGGAGGCAGCAGUGGGGAAUAUUGGGCAAUGGACGCAAGUCUGACCCAGCAACGCCGCGUGAAGGAAGAAGGCUUUCGGGUUGUAAACUUCUUUUAAGGGGGAAGAGCAGAAGACGGUACCCCUUGAAUAAGCCACGGCUAACUACGUGCCAGCAGCCGCGGUAAUACGUAGGUGGCAAGCGUGGUCCGGAUUUACUGGGUGUAAAGGGCGUGCAGCCGGAGAGGCAAGUCAGAUGUGAAAUCCACGGGCUCAACCCGUGAACUGCAUUUGAAACUGUUUCCCUUGAGUGUCGGAGAGGUAAUCGGAAUUCCUGGUGUAGCGGUGAAAUGCGUAGAUAUAAGGAAGAACACCAGUGGCGAAGGCAGAUUACUGGACGAUAACUGACGGUGAGGCGCGAAAGCGUGGGGAGCAAACAGGAUUAGAUACCCGGGUAGUC
rnacentral:rRNA from 1 species